UAAAACUCCCCAAAUUAAUUUUAAACGAAUCGAGCCUUCUUGUGCCAAGACCAAAGGUUGUUUGCUGCCCUUCUCCGUGCGUCGCUCACUUUCCCUAAAUCUCUCUUUUUGUGUCGAGACCAGAGGCUGUUUGCUGCCCUUCUUCGUGCGUCGCUGAAUUUUCCCAAAUCGAGCCUCCUUGUGCCGAGGCCAGAGGCUGUUUGCUGCCUUUCUCCUUGCGUCGCUCACUUUCCCCAAAUCUCUCUUCUUGUGCCGAGACCAAAAGCUGUUUGCUGCCCUUCUCCGUGCGUCGCUCACUUUCCCCAAAUCGAGCCUUCUUGUGCUGAGACCAGAGGCUGUUUGCUGCCCUUCUUCGUGCGUCGCUCACUUUCCCCAAAUCUGUUUUGUUGUGGUUUUGACCAAGGCUUGGUUUGAAUGUCCCUACACAAAUCUGACUCAGCAUCUCAUCAGCAUUGCUUUUUUUUUUUGGCGAGUUGGGUGGCUUUAGCCAUCAAAUUUGAAAGCACCGAAAUGUUUUGGAUGAUGACAUGUAAUUAAUUCUUUGCAUGCUUUUACAUAAAUGAUGGAUCAUUGAGCCACAAUAUUGCUAUAUAAGAAAGUAUCGUAACAGGGCAAGGAUCGAAGACAUAUAUGCAUGUUGCGAAGUCAAUUCCUCAAAAUGAGUGUAAAGAACAUUUUUAUGUAAAAGCAGUUUUUAA